AACUUAAGCAUAUCAAUAAGCGGAGGAAAAGAAACUAACAAGGAUUCCCUUAGUAGCGGCGAGCGAAGAGGGAUUAGCCCAGAACCGAAUCCUAUGAGCCUCUGGCUUAUAGGAAAUGUGGUGUUUGGUGCACUGUCAAGGUACACUGGUGUUGUUCUAAGUCCACAUGAUUGUGGCUAAGAGCCCAGAGAGGGUGUAAGGCCCGUAAGAACGACGCAGUGUGCUGAUUGCAGUGCUCCUAGAGUAGGGUUGUUUGGGAUUGCAGCCCAAAGUGGGUGGUAACUCCAUCCAAGGCUAAAUACAACACGAGUCCGAUAGCGAACAAGUACCAUGAGGGAAAGUUGAAAAGAACUUUGAAGAGAGAGUUCAAUAGUGCGUGAAACCGUUCAGAGGUAAACGGGCAGAACCGAAGGAAGCGUAGAACAUUUGUAUUUCCAUCGUGGCAUGUGAGGUAAGAGUGAACUCAUUAACCCGAGGCAUUCUCUUUGCGUGUAACUCGUUGGUUGUGCUUUUGUGAUACGUUAACACCACGAUCAGUGGCUAGAAGGGUCUAUCGCUGGGUGUCAGGUAACUUGUGCAUUCUAUGUGCGAGUGUUAUAGACUCUCGGUGUAGCAUCCUUCGAACACUGUCUCGCAGCUGGUUAAUAGUAGUUUGAGAAGCAAGCGCUGGCCUUGCCCGUCGUGACUUUAGCUGGCUCGCAAGAGACUGUUAAUUGGCGACGGGUAUUUGAGCUAGUGCCUCUGCUUCACAGACGAAAAUCAGUGGUGCUCAUGUAGGUAAUCUGCCCGACCCGUCUUGAAACACGGACCAAGGAGUUCAACAUGUGCGCGAGUCAUGGGGUUCUACGAAACCUAAAGGCGCAGUGAAAGUAAAGGCUUGAUUUUUGUCAAGCUAAGGUACGAUCCUGUUACUUGGCGAAAGCUUCAGGCAGGCGCAGUACCAGCUCGUGCCAUGCUUUUUUAAGCGGUGCGAAGCAAGAGCGUACAUGUUGAGACCCGAAAGAUGGUGAACUAUGCCCGCGUAGGUUGAAGCCAGAGGAAACUCUGGUGGAGGACCGUAGCGGUUCUGACGUGCAAAUCGAUCGUCAAACGUGGGUAUAGGGGCGAAAGACUAAUCGAACCAUCUAGUAGCUGGUUCCCUCCGAAGUUUCCCUCAGGAUAGCUAGCACUCAUGAAUGAAACAGUUUUAUCCGGUAAAGCGAAUGAUUAGAAGUAUUGGGGACGAAAUGUCCUCAACUUAUUCUCAAACUUUAAAUGGGUGAGAAGCCUGACUCUCUUGAUUGGAGUCUGGCAUUGAAUGUGAGUGCUCAGUGGGCCAUUUUUGGUAAGCAGAACUGGCGAUGUGGGAUGAACCAAACGUCUGGUUAAAGAGCCUAACACAACGCUCAUGAGAUACCACAAAAGGUGUUGGUUGAUAUAGACAGCAGGACGGUGGCCAUGGAAGUCGGAAUCCGCUAAGGAGUGUGUAACAACUCACCUGCCGAAUCAACCAGCCCUGAAAAUGGAUGGCGCUGGAGCGUUGGUCUUAUACCAGACCGGUACCAUAAGCUGCAUAAUGGAAAUGGUGCCGAGUAGGAGGGCGAUGUGGUGAGCAUAGAAGCUUUAGUCGUGAGACUGAGUGGAGCCGCCACAUGUGCAGAUCUUGGUGGUAGUAGCAAAUAUUCAAGUGAGAACCUUGAAGACUGAAGU
rnacentral:rRNA from 1 species